ACUCCACUUCGUCACCUUCAAUCCAAUAUCACUCUUCAAUCAUCUAACAGAAUCCACAAUGAAAAACAACAAAACAUGCCAUACAAUGACUUAACAGAGAUAAGAAAAACCUCAACCAAGAACCUGCAACAGAAGUAUAUGAGUACCUGAACCGGUGAAUCCACAGCUUCGAUUCCGCUUUCCAUCUUCGAAGCUCCAUUGCGCCACGAGUAUGCUCUCCCUCUUCGCUCUCGGUUUAGCCGAUUCUGCAGAAACUCACGGAACGAACAACCAACCGCACCGUCAAGACAUCGAUUCCGGUAGGUAACCACUCUCUCUUCAAUUUCUUUCAAUUCGCGCACAAGAAAAAGAAACGAAGUUAAUUCAGUCUCAGUCUCGAUGUCGAUUCAAUGUUGAGAGUAUCCGUGAAUCCGAUUGUUGUUCUUGGUUCUUCAUUGGAGAGUUCAUGAAUUCGUGAGGUAAGACGUGGAAUCUAGAGGAGACAAGGAGCGUUAUACGGAUCUGAACAUGCAACGGACUUGUGCGAGUUUCGUCAGAGUCUUCUUGGCCGCACAAUGCGAUGAAUUCCUUCGGAGAAACUCCAGCUCAUUUUCGAUCCAGGCUAG
rnacentral:lncRNA from 1 species